CUCCCAGCCUGUCCACUUCCAGAGCUGUCCCCGGGCCCGGUUCUGGGGCAAAAAUGCCGGCCCUUCACAUCGAAGAUUUGCCAGAAAAGAAAAAGCUGAAGAUGGAAGUUGAGCAACUUCGCAAAGAAGUGAAGAUGCAGACGCAACAGGUGUCUAAAUGUUCUGAAGAAAUAAAGAACUACAUUGAAGAACGUUCUGGAAAGGAUCCUCUGGUGAGAGGAAUUCCAGAAGACAAGAAUCCUUUUAAAGAGAAAGGCAGCUGUAUUAUUUCAUAA